AGGUGGAGACAGAAGAACCCUUGGAAGCCCAUGAGCCCGCAAGCAUGGAGUAUGUAGAAGCAACUGAUGGGAGAGAGAGAGAGAGAAAGAGACCCUGGCUCAAACAAGACGGAAGAAACUUCCACUUUACCCUCGGAGGCAGGAACUAUUGAGGAAGCCGAGGACUGGAGAAGUCAAGGGAAAAGCCUGGGGCCAUUCUGUUACCAUGUGGCAGAGAUGGAGAAACAGACUCAAAUAUAUGUCAGAGCUGGAAGUUACCCUGUUAACAUGGAGGGGAGCCUGGCUUGACCUACUUUGUCUGGGAUUCGGGAAGAAUGCUGGGCCACUCAGAGUGAAGAAAACUCCUGGCAAUGGAGGAAAAGUGAAAGGAUUCUAAAGUCUCCCUAGCUUCCUGGCGUGCAGCUCACUCUCAGCCAGGAUUUUCACAAGAGGAAAUAUAAGUGUCGGACAUAAAACUACUCUACUUAAAAAAUACAAGGCAAAGAUUCAUCAAGUUGUUGAAGCUGCUGGACUCACUCAGGACAACACCUCCUUGUCUGUUCCCUGAGAAAAUACUCACUUUGCAGACACUGCCACACAUGGAGGACAUCCUGGUUGUAUGUCUCCCAUGGUCCCUGUUCCAUUGGUGAGCAUUGGCUCUUGUUAAUACCUUGUGUCCCCAAUGAAGCCACAGCUCUGAAGGGCAGACUCUCUUCUUCUAUUGUCCCCCUCUUUCUGCCCUUGUCUGUCCACUAGGACCAGCUACACAAUUUGCAAAUUCUGGAACAAAAUGAGGAGGAGCUCCUCAUUCAUAAAUUAUUUCCAGUCUCAAGAUAGGGUCAUCAGAGCACAAGAUAAGCCUGGGGCCCUAGGUGGCAACUGGGUCUCACAUCCAAGCAGCUGGCCCUGCCCAUUCAGGGUCCAGGUUCUGGCUACACACAGUAGGAUAUAUGGGGCAAUUGUUUGACGGAGUGAACAGAAUCGGAACACAGUGCACAGCCUAAGGGCUCUGGCUUCACUAUCAGGGCAGUUGGGCUCAAUGUGUUUUUUAUUCUUCUUCCCAGGCCCAGCUCUUUGCAUUUCUUGGAGAAAGGGGGUGAGGGAGACCUGGAGGGUCAGAGGCUAGAGGUCACCCAGCAAAUAACCUUCCUUGAACAAGCGAGUGGGCAUGAGCAAGCAUCAGGCUUUGCUGAGCCGUUCUCCUCGUUUCUUGCCACAAGAUAUAAACUAAUCUACUUAGUUAGAAAAACAUGGUUUAUUGCAAUCUAAGUAAUUUGUAUUUCUUUUUCUACCACAAGAUGUAAACUAAUCUAGUUAGCUAGAGCAAGUUGGUUUAACUGAAUUCAGAGUA